UUAAAUAAUUUAUAUUUUCACUCAGACUACAAUCUUCAGACAGAGUUCGAGGGUGUCUUCGGCGGGCGCGGGCCCGGGGGCGUGAGCCCCCCGGCGGCCAGUUAAGGCGGGCCCGCCGAAGCAACAAGGUAAAUAAACACGGGUGGGAGGUUGGACCCAGAGGGCCCUCACUCGGUAAUGAUCCUUCCGCAGGUUCACCUACGGAAA
rnacentral:misc_RNA from 1 species